UACGGGGGGAGCAAGCGCUGUUCGGAAUCACUGGGCGUAAAGGGAGUCUAGGCGGUUUGGUAAGUGGGAUGUGAAAUCCCCGGGCUCAACCCGGGAACUGCGUCCGAUACUGGCAGGCUUGAAUCCGGGAGAGGGAUGUGGAAUUCCAGGUGUAGCGGUGAAAUGCGUAGAUAUCUGGAGGAACACCGGUGGCGAAGGCGGCAUCCUGGACCGGUAUUGACGCUGAGGCGCGAAAGCCAGGGGAGCAAACGGG
rnacentral:rRNA from 1 species